rnacentral:rRNA from 1 species
UAAACAUUGAUGACACCCUACAUUUUUCAUCCGCCCGGGAACUACAAGCAUUAGCUUAAAACCCAAAGGACUUGGCGGUGCUUAAGAUCCACCUAGAGGAGCCUGUUCUAGAACCGAUAACCCCCGUUCAACCUCACCCUCCCUUGUUUUUCCCGCCUAUAUACCGCCGUCGUCAGCUUACCCCGUGAAGGUUUUGUAGUAAGCAAAAUUGGCACAGCCUAAAACGUCAGGUCAAGGUGUAGCGAAUGAGAGGGGAAGAAAUGGGCUACAUUUUUUAAUACAAGAAAUACGAAUAAUGUGCUGAAACGUACAUUUGAAGGAGGAUUUAGCAGUAAGCAGAAAAUAGAGCGUUCCGCUGAAAUCGGCCCUAAAGCGCGCACACACCGCCCGUCACUCUCCCCAAGCAAUAAAUCAUUUAUAAAUAAUAAACUAUAAAAGCAAAGGGGAGGCAAGUCGUAACAUGGUAAGUGUACCGGAAGGUGCACUUGGAAAAAU